rnacentral:rRNA from 1 species
UCAGUCGACUCCUACGGGAGGCAGCAGUGGGGAAUAUUGCACAAUGGGGGAAACCCUGAUGCAGCCAUGCCGCGUGUGUGAAGAAGGCCUUCGGGUUGUAAAGCGCUUUCAGUAGGGAGGAAGGUAGUGUAGUUAACACCUGCACUAUUUGACGUUACCUACAGAAGAAGCACCGGCUAACUCCGUGCCAGCAGCCGCGGUAAUACGGAGGGUGCGAGCGUUAAUCGGAAUUACUGGGCGUAAAGCGCAUGCAGGCGGCCUGUUAAGUCAGAUGUGAAAGCCCCGGGGCUUAACCUCGGAAUUGCAUUUGAAACUGGCAGGCUAGAGUCUUGUAGAGGGGGUAGAAUUUCAGGUGUAGCGGUGAAAUGCGUAGAGAUCUGAAGGAAUACCAGUGGCGAAGGCGGCCCCCUGGACAAAGACUGACGCUCAGAUGCGAAAGCGUGGGGAGCAAACAGGAUUAGAUACCCUGGUAG